GAUGAACGCUGGCGGCGUGCCUAAUACAUGCAAGUCGAGCGAACGGACGAGAAGCUUGCUUCUCUGACUUUAGCGGCGGACGGGUGAGUAACACGUGGAUAACCUACCUAUAAGACUGGGAUAACUUCGGGAAACCGUAGCUAAUACCGGAUAAUAUUUUGAACCGCAUGGUUCAAAAGUGAAAGACGGUCUUGCUGUCACUUAUAGAUUGAUCCGCGCUGCAUUAGCUAGUUGGUAAGGUAACGGCUUACCAAGGCAACGAUGCAUAGCCGACCUGAGAGGGUGAUCGGCCACACUGGAACUGAGACACGGUCCAGACUCCUACGGGAGGCAGCAGUAGGGAAUCUUCCGCAAUGGGCGAAAGCCUGACGGAGCAACGCCGCGUGAGUGAUGAAGGUCUUCGGAUCGUAAAACUCUGUUAUUAGGGAAGAACAUAUGUGUAAGUAACUGUGCACAUCUUGACGGUACCUAAUCAGAAAGCCACGGCUAACUACGUG
rnacentral:rRNA from 1 species